GCUUCUACUGGUGAUAUGGGAAGGGCCCACUCACUGAACUAACUCCCUUCCCUCUACUCCCAGAGCCCGCCCGGCAGGACCACCGAGCAAGGCCUUGGAAAACCAGAGAGAUUAGAGCGCAGAAUGGGGAAAUGGAGAGAGAACCUGAAAGAGCCCCAAACUCGAGGACCUAUUGCUCCCCAAGAAUAACAUCUUCCAGAAGAACUAGACAGAAAACUAGGCGUCUGGGAACUCUGAAAUCCUUGGAGGAGUAGCAUCAUCAUGACCCUCUGUGUUCCUUUUGGCAAAGGACUUGCUCCCAUUGUUUGCUUGUUCCAUUGUCUGUCUGUUAAAUAAAUAAAACCCUUUUCAUAUAUCUUUAAACUUAAAAAAAAAAAAAAAAAAAAAAAAAAAAAAAAAAAAA
rnacentral:lncRNA from 1 species